UAAAAGAGCUUGAAUCUAUCUCAAAGCUCAGAGAUGAAUAUGAAGAUGUGAAUCUGGAACUUCAAGAAUGGAAAAAUAAAUGCACUGAUUUGGAGUUGCAGAAAAAAACACUUUUGGAAGAGCUUAAGCAAGUUCAACAAACAAAUUGUGAAGAAAUUGAAGUUUUAGAAGCACUAAAUGAAGAACUCAAAGCAGGGACCGCGGAACCGGUAUUGCCGGUAUUGCCCGAGCAAUACCAGAAAUCGGCGAGAGGAAAGACAUACAUGAAUGAGAAAUCACUCCGCCGUAAAUAAGCAUCGCAAUACUAGUUCAAUGAAAAAUGCCCAUGAAUGCUCUUCCCAAAGCCAGAUGUCCAACACCAUCUCUCUAAUCACCCGGAAAACGGUGUAGCUCAGCCCGGACGCAGUAUCGGGGCUGGAUACUAGUUCAAAACGAAAGCGAAAGGGGGUGGAUAUUUGUCUGUUUAUACGAAGAUUCAUUGAUAAAUUCUGCGUGCAAAAGUUUUCAAAGAAGAAAAAGACUAGUGAAAGUGGACAAAAUGAGUACUGCGGAUCAGCCGCGGAGGUCCAUUGAAGAUGACCAGGAGCCAGGCAAUGUUGCUGAUGAUGAUACAGGUAUGUACAUAUGACAUAGUUACGUAGAUACAUAGUUGACAUGAUAUUCUUUAGUGAGAAAACUAUAAAAUUAUUUAAUAAUAAUUCACC